CUCCUCCUCCAGUCUUCUGUCGGUACCUUCUUUCUAUAAAGCUGAAAACAACAACAGUUGCAGCUGUAGAAAAACUGAGAAACAUCAGCUACCCCAUCAUCAGCAGCAAUCUACACAUCUCUGAUGUUAACAUCUCUACAGUGUGCUCCCCCUAUAAUACAAGCCACCAGUGCAGAUGUGAGGAUCAGUAUGGCUGGCCUUGUGACAUGUGCUCCACUUUUGGUGAAUACAGCAACCUUCCAGACAAUACCUGUGGAUGCAUCAAUGCACUUCCUCCAAAUAAUACUUACUGCCAGCCACUGUCAGAUCUAAAUCCCUGCCCAACGACAGCACCAACAACUA